rnacentral:rRNA from 1 species
CAUGCAAGUCGAACGAUGAUCCGCUGCUUGCUCCGGGGAUUAGUGGCGAACGGGUGAGUAACACGUGAGUAACCUGCCCUUAACUCUGGGAUAAGCCUGGGAAACUGGGUCUAAUACCGGAUAUGACUCCUCAUCGCAUGGUGGGGGGUGGAAAGCUUUUGUGGUUUUGGAUGGACUCGCGGCCUAUCAGCUUGUUGGUGAGGUAAUGGCUCACCAAGGCGACGACGGGUAGCCGGCCUGAGAGGGUGACCGGCCACACUGGGACUGAGACACGGCCCAGACUCCUACGGGAGGCAGCAGUGGGGAAUAUUGCACAAUGGGCGCAAGCCUGAUGCAGCGACGCCGCGUGAGGGAUGACGGCCUUCGGGUUGUAAACCUCUUUCAGUAGGGAAGAAGCGAAAGUGACGGUACCUGCAGAAGAAGCGCCGGCUAACUACGUGCCAGCAGCCGCGGUAAUACGUAGGGCGCAAGCGUUAUCCGGAAUUAUUGGGCGUAAAGAGCUCGUAGGCGGUUUGUCGCGUCUGCCGUGAAAGUCCGGGGCUCAACUCCGGAUCUGCGGUGGGUACGGGCAGACUAGAGUGAUGUAGGGGAGACUGGAAUUCCUGGUGUAGCGGUGAAAUGCGCAGAUAUCAGGAGGAACACCGAUGGCGAAGGCAGGUCUCUGGGCAUUAACUGACGCUGAGGAGCGAAAGCAUGGGGAGCGAACAGGAUUAGAUACCCUGGUAGUCCAUGCCGUAAACGUUGGGCACUAGGUGUGGGGGACAUUCCACGUUUUCCGCGCCGUAGCUAACGCAUUAAGUGCCCCGCCUGGGGAGUACGGCCGCAAGGCUAAAACU